rnacentral:rRNA from 1 species
GAUGAACGCUGGCGGCGUGCCUAAUGCAUGCAAGUCGAACGCACAGCGAAAGGUGCUUGCACCUUUCAAGUGAGUGGCGAACGGGUGAGUAACACGUGGACAACCUGCCUCAAGGCUGGGGAUAACAUUUGGAAACAGAUGCUAAUACCGAAUAAAACUUAGUGUCGCAUGACAAAAAGUUAAAAGGCGCUUCGGCGUCACCUAGAGAUGGAUCCGCGGUGCAUUAGUUAGUUGGUGGGGUAAAGGCCUACCAAGACAAUGAUGCAUAGCCGAGUUGAGAGACUGAUCGGCCACAUUGGGACUGAGACACGGCCCAAACUCCUACGGGAGGCUGCAGUAGGGAAUCUUCCACAAUGGGCGAAAGCCUGAUGGAGCAACGCCGCGUGUGUGAUGAAGGCUUUCGGGUCGUAAAGCACUGUUGUAUGGGAAGAACAGCUAGAAUAGGAAAUGAUUUUAGUUUGACGGUACCAUACCAGAAAGGGACGGCUAAAUACGUGCCAGCAGCCGCAGUAA